rnacentral:rRNA from 1 species
ACGGAAGGCAGCAGUGGGGAAUAUUGCACAAUGGGGGAAACCCUGAUGCAGCGACGCCGCGUGAACGAUGAAGUAUUUCGGUAUGUAAAGUUCUAUCAGCAGGGAAGAUAAUGACGGUACCUGACUAAGAAGCACCGGCUAAAUACGUGCCAGCAGCCGCGGUAAUACGUAUGGUGCAAGCGUUAUCCGGAUUUACUGGGUGUAAAGGGUGCGUAGGUGGCAUGGCAAGUCUGAAGUGAAAUGCGGGGGCUCAACCCCUGAACUGCUUUGGAAACUGUCAAGCUUGAGUACAGGAGAGGAAAGCGGAAUUCCUAGUGUAGCGGUGAAAUGCGUAGAUAUUAGGAGGAACACCAGUGGCGAAGGCGGCUUUCUGGACCGUAACUGACACUGAGGCACGAAAGCGUGGGGAGCAAACAGGAUUAGAUACCCUGGUA